rnacentral:ncRNA from 2 species
UAGACUUCACCCGCCCCUGGUGCUCGGGAAGCCGGUCUGAAUCCGGCGCUGCCCCCGCAACGGUAGGCCAGCAAAACCUUCCAGUUCAGCCACUGUGCCCCCGGGCAUGGGAAGGCGGAAGGCCGGCACGACGCCCGUCAUGCCACUGGCAAGCCCGGAGACCGGCCGGGGGCUGGCCGCCCGG